rnacentral:rRNA from 1 species
AAAAGGAUUGGAGGAAUGUAGCUUCGAUCUCGUAUUGAAGUGUUAUAGCUUUGGUAAAUGUGAUGAUUAGGAUCGAGGAUUGCAACGAAUACCCUUUUGGGCUAUCCCCUGAUCUCUGAUACGUGGCCUUGGUAUCGAAAGCGUGCUUAUGAUAUUAAGGUAUUACGUCAAAAGGUUAGAACGGAUUACAUUCGUUAAGGAUGUUGACGUAAUGGCUUUAAACGA